GGACAGAGCCCAGGGAGAGAUCCUAGAUACUGAAGGACCCCAGAUCUAAUCUUACAGACAGAUGGUUCAGGAUCACACCAGGAAGCUCAGUAGAUGACAACAAGCCAGCAGAAAGCUCUUCAAGGAAGAAGCGCUCUAACUACUAAAUCCAGAGAGUGCACUGUUGCAGAAAGAUGCCAGAAAACUUACAUUACAUCAAGAUCAAGAAUGAAACUUGCUUGAAGUGAA